GUGCCAGCCGCCGCGGUAAGACAGAGGGUGCAAACGUUGCUCGGAUUUACUGGGCGUAAAGCGCAUGUAGGCGGAGAGAUGUGUCGGGUGUGAAAUCCCUGGGCUCAACCUAGGAACUGCAUCCGAAACUGUCUUUCUAGAGUAGUGGAGAGGAAAGCGGAAUUCCGGGUGUAGAGGUGAAAUUCGUAGAUAUCCGGAGGAACACCAGUGGCGAAGGCGGCUUUCUGGACACUAACUGACGCUGAGAUGCGAAAGCGUGGGGAGCAAACAGGAUUAGAUACCCGCGUAGUCC
rnacentral:rRNA from 1 species